GCUGGGUGUGGUGGUGCGCACCUGUAGUCCUAGCUACUCAGGAGGCUGAGACAGGAGGAUCGCUUGAGCCCAGGAGUUCAAGGCUGCAGUGAGCUAUGAUCAUGCCACUGCCUUCCAGCCUGGGCAACAGAGCAAGACCCCAUCUCUA
rnacentral:SRP_RNA from 1 species